GAACUAGCUUACCAGCAGUGAUCUUAAUCACCAUGCUGGAUCUUAAAAUGAUCUGUAUUAAAUUCAAUAUAUCUUUUCCCGGUAUUUGCAGUAAAAAUAUCUUACCUGUUCGGCAACCAGAUCACCUAUAUAACAAAAUAUAAAAAUGUUGAAGGUGAACGAUAUGAGUAAUGAUAUGUAAGUUAACGAAAGUGAUAUUUCUUUCGGAUUCCAUUCCUAUAAAAUCAAUAAAAUUUGGUUUAGUGUGUC